GAGGGGUAUAGGCUUUCGGGUCUAGAGACCGGCGCACGGGUGCGUAACGCGUAUGCAAUCUACCUUUCACAGAGGGAUAGCCCAGAGAAAUUUGGAUUAAUACCUCAUAGUAUAUAAUCUUCGCAUGAAGGUUAUAUUAAAGUCACAACGGUGAAAGAUGAGCAUGCGUCCCAUUAGCUAGUUGGUAAGGUAACGGCUUACCAAGGCGACGAUGGGUAGGGGUCUUGAGAGGGAGAUCCCCCACACUGGUACUGAGACACGGACCAGACUCCUACGGGAGGCAGCAGUGAGGAAUAUUGGUCAAUGGACGCAAGUCUGAACCAGCCAUGCCGCGUGCAGGAUGACGGUCCUAUGGAUUGUAAACUGCUUUUGUACGGGAAGAAACACUGCUUCGUGAAGCAGCUUGACGGUACCGUAAGAAUAAGGAUCGGCUAACUCCGUGCCAGCAGCCGCGGUAAUACGGAGGAUCCAAGCGUUAUCCGGAAUCAUUGGGUUUAAAGGGUCCGUAGGCGGUUUGGUAAGUCAGUGGUGAAAGCCCAUCGCUCAACGGUGGAACGGCCAUUGAUACUGCCAGACUUGAAUUACUGGG
rnacentral:rRNA from 1 species